UUAGGGGUUCUCAUAUCCUAACUCAUUCCACUCAAACGAAGAACACAAGGCCUAGAGCCUCUCUCUCACUCUGCCGGUAAAACCCAAAGCCACCGUCUCCACCACCGGUUUAACGCGUCGCCGGCGAUAGUAGAUGCCACCGGAACCACGGCCUACCACGACGCCACCGCCAAUCUCUUCCCUCCUCCCCUUUCGUGCGCGAGAAGGAUGUACGCCUGCCCCUUGGACGUGUCAUCGCUGUCACCGACGAGGCCAGUCGACGCCGCUGCCAAGGUCACCUCUAGCGAUGCGUCGCCGGCGAAACCCGCACCGUUCUUGUUGGUUCAACCCCCCAAUUUGUGAGCCUUAACCCCAAGAGAUCAUUGCUCCCACCACGGUUAGACAGAGGCGUCACCAGGGCGCCACCCCCAUCGGCGAUUACUUCCCUUCCUCACUAUUCUAUUGUUAUUUCCCUUGCUUAGACAAUGGGUUGUUAUGUGUAUGAGUGCGGUUUGGUGAGGAAGAAGAUGAAGAAACUGUUUUGUUAUUUUUCCUUUCUGUUGUGUUUUUUUGGUGAGCAUCUAGUUUAAUGAUUCAAGUUCAUUGUUGAUGAUUGGAGAUGGACAAAGGCGUGGGAGGCCUAGCUUGGAUUAUCUGACUUGAUUUUUGGUUGCUGUGAUUGAUUCCGGGUGUUCGGAUUAAGUCUGUUUCUUGCAGGAAAAAGGCGCUAGGGAUUUCAUGGCAUAAGUCAAGGUUGAGGAAUGAUAAUGGGGGUUUGUAUGAGGGAUAUUGGUUUGCUGAUUAAGGUUAUGCACAGAGGGCAUUGGUGUCGGUUUGCAGGUUUGAAUAACAAACAACGUGCAGAAGCAAAUCAUCUAUAUUCAACACAAUUGCAUAUUCAAACAGACAAAGACAGGCAUUGCCAAAUCAAGACCAAAAACAAAGACGUUAUCGGACAUUUAAACUUGGGGGCGACGAAGGAGAACUUACCUUCGCAGCUUCACAAAAUUUUUUCUUUAGGUUCUAGUUCUCUCUGCUUUCUUUGAUUGAUCCUUCUUUUUUAUUAUCCCACGUUCUUGUAGGUGCGAGGAGGUUGAAUGGGAGGUUCACAGUCGACAACCAAGAUGAAGGCAAAAAAAUCCCUUUCUCCCUGGCCGUGAGGUCCUUUACUCUUUCGUUGUGAUGGUUGAUGAUGGGGUGAGUCUCUAAAGUGUUCUCUGGCUGUGAUGGUGCUGGAGGAGGAUCAUUGUCUUGGUUCUCUCUAAGCGUUUGUUUUAUCGACAGAGAGAUGAGGAGGAUUUUCUGUUUUCCUGGUGAGUGGUGUAAUGUAAGAGAAUCUCUAUUGGAGGAUGGUGGGUUCUUGUGAUAUGCUUGACGGAGGAAAUUCCUUAGGAUUUUUUUGUCUUUUUUCUUUUUCUUGCGUUUAAACUGGAUUCAUUAGCCAAAGUGAUUCAAAUUUCCUUUCCUCUUUAAUGUAAGAUUGCGGUUCUGCCGGUUCUGCACAAGGAUUCUGGCUUGUACACAGUGAGCACCAUGUUGCAGGAGGAUCAACGGUGCAUGAUAGAAAGCUUAGUUUGCAUUUGCAUAGGCAGGCAAUGGGAAGAAGCAAAGCCUGCUAUUCCUCAAAAAACAACUUAGGUUAACAAUUACGUUUUGUUUUCCUCUUUUUUCUUUUUUGCUCUUUUUUUUUCUGAUUUUUUUUUUUGUUUUGUUAACAUUUAACAUAAAAACAUAAAAACAAAACUAAACAACAAAAAAACUAACGUAAAAAGAAUAAAGUAAAAUAACUCUAAAUAAUAAAAAGCAAAAUACAAUAAAAAAAACUAAUAAAAUAAAAUAAAAAUUAAAUAAUAUAAAAUGAAAUAAAAUAAUAAAAACAAAAUUAAAAUUAAUGAAUGACAUAAAAUAAAAUAAGGUUAAAAAAACAUAUAGUAUUUAGUCACCUGGAUGAAAUUGGGUGUUGACAGUAUGUGGAGGAGGAAAGGGUGGAAAGGAGUCCGUCGAGAAGGAGAUCACCUCGACGAAGUCCCGAGCGACCUCAUUGUGGUAACGAACAGCGAUAUCAGGGCAGAAGGAGAAGUAGAAGCCGCAAUAGGAGUCGGGAUCGACCACUUAGUGGCCAUAUUAAUAUGAUAUGAUACACCUUGAUGUGCAGAAAGUGAUCAAAGAUGUUGAAGCUCAAAGUUCUUCAAAGAAUCUUUAUGAAUUUCCAAAUAUGACAAUCUUGAUUCUUGAAGCAAUCAGGACGCUCUUGCAAUAAUAUCUUAACAAACAAAUCAGAUAUGAAAGUUACGAAUCAUAAAGUUGUUGAACACAGAGAGCAGUGUGUCUAUUUAAAGAUGUUC
rnacentral:lncRNA from 1 species